GGCAGAAUAGCUCAAAUGGUAAGAGUGCUUGCCUAGCAAGCAUGAGGCCCUGAGUUCAAACCCCAGUGCUGCCA